GUAGCAAUAGGGUUUUUGUUUCCCUUUUUUUUUAAGAAAAAAAAUGGGGGGCCUAGAAAAAAAGCUUACAAGUCUUGUUUCAGGAAAGCAGCUGGAACAUUAAUGGCAAUUCCACUUUCCCAUUCAUCGCCCCCGCCCCCACCACCCCACCAAGAAACUCAGUGGGAAUGAAUGGUCUACACAGAGAAACUGAAAUCUGGUUAGUCAAGAAGGAAAAAACAACCAAGUGCCUAGCAUUAAGAGGAUUUUUUUUUUAAGCUCAGCCUAUGGACAACAAAAGCAUGGACUGUAUUUCUCAGCAUCUUUUGCACUUGAACAAGAUUAUUUUUUCCUUGAAAAUUGACAUGGAUGGUCUGCCACUGUGGGCUUUAUCUUCAACAUCGUCUCAACCCUUCUUAUCAAUAACACAAGUUAUCCACUUGUAAACUGCUGAUUUCUUUGGGGCACUGUCACCAUAAACUUUUGAUAAGGCAUCAGUGAUUUCUUCUUCACCCAAGCUUCACCAUAAAUUUGAUGUUUCUUUUUGCUUCAUUUUAGCAGAAUUUGUUCCAAUAGGGGCUCUUUUCGAACUGAUUUUUUUUUUUUUCAUUUUUUUUCACUGGGAUUUUGAGAAAAUCAAACUGAUAGCCUUCUUAGUGCCUCAAACUAGAUCCUGUUCAGACACAAACAAGUU
rnacentral:antisense_RNA from 1 species